GACGAACCGUGCGAACGUUAUUCGGAAUCACUGGGCUUAAAGCGCGUGUAGGCGGGAGGGCACGUCCGUCGCUGAAAUCCCCCGGCUCAACCGGGGAACGGGCGCGGAUACGACCUUCCUGGAGGGGCGUAGGGGGACCUGGAACUUCCGGUGGAGCGGUGAAAUGCGUUGAGAUCGGAAGGAACGCCCGUGGCGAAAGCGAGGUCCUGGACGCCUACUGACGCUGAGACGCGAAAGCCAGGGGAGCGAACAGG
rnacentral:rRNA from 1 species